rnacentral:rRNA from 1 species
CAUGGCUCAGGAUGAACGCUGGCGGCGUGCCUAACACAUGCAAGUCGAACGGAGAUUACGGACGGAAGUUUUCGGAUGGAAGCCUGUAAUUCUUAGUGGCGGACGGGUGAGUAACGCGUGGGCAACCUGCCCUAUACAGGGGGAUAGCAGCUGGAAACGGCUGGUAAGACCGCAUAAGUCGGUUAAAUCGCAUGAUUUGAUCGGGAAAUGAGCAAUCAGGUAUAGGAUGGGCCCGCGUCCGAUUAGCCAGUUGGCAGGGUAAAAGCCUACCAAAGCGACGAUCGGUAGCCGGACUGAGAGGUCGGACGGCCACAUUGGGACUGAGACACGGCCCAAACUCCUACGG